rnacentral:ncRNA from 1 species
CCACGAACAGGGCAAACCAUUUCGAAAGGAUGGGACGCAAAGCCUCCGGCCUUAAGUAUACUUAUACAAGGUAGCGGGGUUGCCGAU